AGCACCGGCUAACUCCGUGCCAGCAGCCGCGGUAAUACGGAGGGUGCAAGCGUUAAUCGGAAUUACUGGGCGUAAAGCGCACGCAGGCGGUCUGUCAAGUCGGAUGUGAAAUCCCCGGGCUCAACCUGGGAACUGCAUUCGAAACUGGCAGGCUUGAGUCUUGUAGAGGGGGGUAGAAUUCCAGGUGUAGCGGUGAAAUGCGUAGAGAUCUGGAGGAAUACAGGUGGCGAAGGCGGCCCCCUGGACAAAGACUGACGCUCAGGUGCGAAAGCGUGGGGAGCAAACAGGAUUAGAUACACUGGUAGUCCACGCCGUAAACGAUGUCUACUUGGAGGUUGUGCCCUUGAGGCGUGGCUUCCGGAGCUAACGCGUUAAGUAGACCGCCUGGGGAAUACCGCCGCAAGGUUAAAUCUCAAAUGA
rnacentral:rRNA from 1 species